rnacentral:rRNA from 1 species
UACGGAAGGCAGCAGUGGGGAAUAUUGCACAAUGGGCGAAAGCCUGAUGCAGCUAUGCCGCGUGUAUGAAGAAGGCCUUAGGGUUGUAAAGUACUUUUCAUCGGGGAGGAAAAACAAAACUAAUAAUUUUAUUUCUUGACGUUACCCGAAAAAGAAGCACCGGCUAACUCCGUGCCAGCAGCCGCGGUAAUACGGAGGGUGCUAGCGUUAAUCAGAAUUACUGGGCGUAAAGAGCACGUAGGUGGUUUUUUUAAGUCAGAUGUGAAAUCCCUGGGCUUAACCUGGAACUGCAUUUUGAAACUGAAAUACUAGAGUAUCGUAGAGGGAGGUAGAAUUCUAGGUGUAGCGGUGAAAUGCGUAGAUAUCUGGAGGAAUCCUGUGGCGAAAGCGGCCUCCUAAACGAAUACUGACACUGAGGUGCGAAAGCUGGGGAGCAAACAGGGAUUAGAUACC